UCAACGGAUAAAAGCUACCCCGGGGAUAACAGGCUUAUCUCCCCCAAGAGUCCACAUCGACGGGGAGGUUUGGCACCUCGAUGUCGGCUCAUCGCAUCCUGGGGCUGUAGUCGGUCCCAAGGGUUGGGCUGUUCGCCCAUUAAAGCGGUACGCGAGCUGGGUUCAGAACGUCGUGAGACAGUUCGGUCCCUAUCCGUCGUGGGCGUAGGAAAUUUGAGAGGAGCUGUCCUUAGUACGAGAGGACCGGGAUGGACGCACCGCUGGUGUACCAGUUGUUCUGCCAAGGGCAUAGCUGGGUAGCUAUGUGCGGAAGGGAUAAGUGCUGAAAGCAUCUAAGCAUGAAGCCCCCCUCAAGAUGAGAUUUCCCAUAGCGUAAGCUAGUAAGAUCCCUGAAAGAUGAUCAGGUUGAUAGGUUCGAGGUGGAAGCAUGGUGACAUGUGGAGCUGACGAAUACUAAUAGAUCGAGGACUUAACCAUAUAA
rnacentral:rRNA from 1 species